ACGAACGCUGGCGGCAUGCCUAACACAUGCAAGUCGAACGAGACCUUCGGGUCUAGUGGCGCACGGGUGCGUAACGCGUGGGAACCUGCCCUUAGGUUCGGAAUAACUCCCCGUAAGGGGUGCUAAUACCGGAUAAUGUCUUCGGACCAAAGAUUUAUCGCCUUUGGAUGGGCCCGCGUUGGAUUAGCUAGUUGGUAGGGUAAAAGCCUACCAAGGCGACGAUCCAUAGCUGGUAUGAGAGGAUGAUCAGCCACACUGGGACUGAGACACGGCCCAGACUCCUACGGGAGGCAGCAGUGGGGAAUAUUGGACAAUGGGCGAAAGCCUGAUCCAGCAAUGCCGCGUGAGUGAUGAAGGCCUUAGGGUUGUAAAGCUCUUUUACCCGGGAUGAUAAUGACAGUACCGGGAGAAUAAGCUCCGGCUAACUCCGUG
rnacentral:rRNA from 1 species